rnacentral:rRNA from 1 species
GAUGAACGCUGGCGGCGUGCCUAAUACAUGCAAGUCGAGCGAACAGACGAGGAGCUUGCUCCUCUGACGUUAGCGGCGGACGGGUGAGUAACACGUGGAUAACCUACCUAUAAGACUGGGAUAACUUCGGGAAACCGGAGCUAAUACCGGAUAAUAUAUUGAACCGCAUGGUUCAAUAGUGAAAGACGGUUUUGCUGUCACUUAUAGAUGGAUCCGCGCCGCAUUAGCUAGUUGGUAAGGUAACGGCUUACCAAGGCAACGAUGCGUAGCCGACCUGAGAGGGUGAUCGGCCGCCCUGGAACUGGAACACGGUCCAGGGUCCUACGGGAGGCAGCAGUAGGGAAUCUUCCGCAAAGGGCGAAAGCCUGACGGAGCAACGCCGCGUGAGUGAUGAAGGUCUUCGGAUCGUAAAACUCUGUUAUUAGGGAAGAACAAAUGUGUAAGUAACUAUGCACGUCUUGACGGUACCUAAUCAGAAAGCCACGGCUAACUACGUG